AAAAAAUUGUCAUACUUCUUCUAUUGAUUUUCUUAGCACAAACUUGUUAGUUUCAUGUGCUAUAUUUUGAAGAAUUCUUCUAUCUAUACAACUUCUUCUAUUAACUAAUCAAGUCUUCUAUGACUAUCAUUCUAUGCAAUUCUUAAGUUGCAUGAACAUUAUCUACAAAUGAUGAACAAAGACCUUCCCACAAACUGGAUAGAGAGACAACUACAAAGACAU
rnacentral:lncRNA from 1 species